rnacentral:lncRNA from 1 species
CUUUCCUGGGCUCAUCUACCUUGCUUUGCAUUUUAAGUCUCUCCUGCCUAAUGAAAUGUCAUCUUUUCAGAGCUGGUGACCAAAUAAUUGUUUAAACUGGAAGCAAGGGUGCUGUGAUUCUCUGUAACCUGAAGCUGGUGAGACAUCUUCUCCCAUCCUUCUUCCAAUAAGCUUGGCUGGAGUUGCCUGGACAGAUGUCUGGAUGGCUGGCCUUCCCUCUGCCUGGCUCUCAGGGGGUGAAGGCAUGAAUUUGACACUGGAUUACUGAAGAACAUCACUGUGACUGAGGGGUUACCUACAAAACUCUACCUGAUGCUACAAAGGCAAGAGUACCUCCUUAACUUUAUGAUCCAUCAGAGUCUUAGAAAACAAGAAUGUGCAUUCUGCUGGUCUUCCCGGAUUCCAGAAGCUGCCCCAAGGACAUAGUCUUGAGCUAAUGAUGUGGUGUAUGGAUCCAGUUGCUACCAAGACGACUGAAGGAACUCGGAUAUUUGGAGGUGGCCCCUCUCAGAGGAGAAGAGGAUCCCAGGUGGCAGAGGUAUGUCCACACGACUAAAUUCUCACCGACAGAAGGCUGGUGGAAGUGAUGUGACCUACUUCCAGAUCUGACCAUGAAACCUUGUCCGUGAACUCCUGCAUGGAUCACAACCCACUCCUCCCCACCCCAAAUGGCUGGAAUGACAAUCCUGAGUACUCCUGGGAGCCAUGAGUUGAGGAUAAUAGAGUCACCAUCUGCCUGGAUUUCUGGAUCCUGAAAGAAUGCUUAGAACAGACAGCCCACCAACUGGCCUGCUCUAGAUUAUUAACAUGAAAACAAAACAAAAAACUAUUAUUCUUGAAACUUUGCAUUUUGGGGCCUAGCCACUGUAGCAAUUUAGACCAUACUCUCUAAUCCAUUUGGGCUGCUAUACCAAAAUACUAUAUGUGGGAUGGUU